GACGAACGCUGGCGGCGUGCUUAACACAUGCAAGUCGAACGGAAAGGCCCUGCUUUUGUGGGGUGCUCGAGUGGCGAACGGGUGAGUAACACGUGAGUAACCUGCCCUUGACUUUGGGAUAACUUCAGGAAACUGGGGCUAAUACCGGAUAGGAGCUCCUGCUGCAUGGUGGGGGUUGGAAAGUUUCGGCGGUUGGGGAUGGACUCGCGGCUUAUCAGCUUGUUGGUGGGGUAGUGGCUUACCAAGGCUUUGACGGGUAGCCGGCCUGAGAGGGUGACCGGCCACAUUGGGACUGAGAUACGGCCCAGACUGCUACGGGAGGCAGAAGUGGGGAAUAUUGCACAAUGGGCGGAAGCCUGAUGCAGAAACGCCGCGUGCGGGAUGACGGCCUUCGGGUUGUAAACCGCUUUCGCCUGUGACGAAGCGUGAGUGACGGUAAUGGGUAAAGAAGCACCGGCUAACUACGUG
rnacentral:rRNA from 1 species